rnacentral:rRNA from 1 species
AUUGAACGCUGGCGGCAUGCCUUACACAUGCAAGUCGAACGGCAGCGGGGGAGAAGCUUGCUUUUCCUGCCGGCGAGUGGCGAACGGGUGAGUAAUACAUCGGAACGUGCCCUGUAGUGGGGGAUAACUAGUCGAAAGAUUAGCUAAUACCGCAUACGACCUGAGGGUGAAAGUGGGGGACCGCAAGGCCUCAUGCUAUAGGAGGGGCCGAGGACUGAUUAGCUAGUUGGUGGGGUAAAGGCCUACCAAGGCGACGAUCAGUAGCUGGUCUGAGAGGACGAUCAGCCACACUGGGACUGAGACACGGCCCAGACUCCUACGGGAGGCAGCAGUGGGGAAUUUUGGAAAAUGGGCGAAAGCCUGAUCCAGCAAUGCCGCGUGUGUGAAGAAGGCCUUCGGGUUGUAAAGCACUUUUGUCCGGAAAGAAAUGGCUCUGGUUAAUACCUGGGGUCGAUGACGGUACCGGAAGAAUAAGGACCGGCUAACUACGUGCCAGCCGCCGCCGUAA